GUUCUUAUAGUUGAACAACAACAAUGUCUUUUCAAGACAUAAGCCUUGGUUAGACCCCAAGUAAGAACU
rnacentral:tRNA from 1 species